rnacentral:lncRNA from 1 species
CUCACUGGGGAACCCGGUGGUGGCGGCAGCUUUCGAGGCAGACACUUGCCGGCCCGGUCCUGAGAAGGGAAAGUCGGGGCGAGCGGACAGCGGGAGCAGCCUGCCGGCGCCAGUCGCCUUAGGUUCCGCCAUGAGCUGGGGCACCGAGCUGUGGGAUCAGUUCGAUAGCUUAGAUAAGCAUACCCAAUGGGGAAUUGACUUCUUGGAAAGAUACGCCAAGUUUGUUAAAGAGAGAAUUGAAAUUGAACAGAACUAUGCGAAACAAUUGAGGUAAGUUGAUUUACUUCUCACUUCUUAGAAAUGAGGUUACACAUUUAAACAGCUCAAUAUUAAAAACAAAUAGUAUUGUGCAGGUUAGACCUUGUGUUCUUUAUCCAUAGUGGUUUGAAUUAGAGGGCUGACUAGUGGUUAAUUUAGGUAACCCAUUGCCUUGUACCACGGGGAGUAUCGACUACCCAGAUCAUGAGUCACUGAUUUAGAAAGACACUUAAAAUCCUUAAAUCUCAGAGCAAAGAGGCAACCUGCUUAAGCAGCCAGGGCCUGCUGGCUUUAGCCCCUUUCCACCUUCUACCUGCAAGCCUUUAAAUAAAAUGGUUGGAUGACUAAACAAGC